AAUGAACUUCACUCAAUGGAUUCAUUUUAUGUACUGGAUACCACCACAGAUUCAUUCACACUAAAAAGCAAUAUUCAGGUAUGGUUUUCUAAUAGAAAUAGAAAUAAUAGAAUAGUGUUGGAAAUUCAAACUACAUCUGGACUGCCAACAUGGAGACACAGAUACUACUCAUGAUUCUCAUUGUAGUUACAGGUGGAUUUGCAGACAAAAUUGGACCAAAAGAAGGGGAGACUAAUAUAAUCAAGGAAGAAGGAGAUUCUGUGACACUGAGCUGCACAUAUGAAACAAACAGCAAUAAUGUGUAUCUUUUCUGGUACAGACUGUACCCUAACAAAGAACCACAGUAUUUACUGCAGAAAGGUGCCCGAUCAAACACCUAUGAGAAUAUAGCAGACCAACGGUUUCGGUCGACUACAUCCCGAACAUCCACUGAACUCAUUAUUGACAAAACAGCUCUGUCAGAUUCAGCUCUCUAUUACUGUGCUCUUCAAGCAGCCCAGUGA